rnacentral:rRNA from 1 species
GAUGAACGCUGGCGGCGUGCCUAAUACAUGCAAGUCGAACGAAACUUCUUUAUCACCGAGUGCUUGCACUCACCGAUAAAGAGUUGAGUGGCGAACGGGUGAGUAACACGUGGGCAACCUGCCCAAAAGAGGGGGAUAACACUUGGAAACAGGUGCUAAUACCGCAUAACCAUAGUUACCGCAUGGUAACUAUGUAAAAGGUGGCUAUACUACCGCUUUUGGAUGGGCCCGCGGCGCAUUAGCUAGUUGGUAGGGUAAAGGCUUACCAAGGCAAUGAUGCGUAGCCGAAUUGAGAGGUUGAUCGGCCACAUUGGGACUGAGACACGGCCCAAACUCCUACGGGAGGCAGCAGUAGGGAAUCUUCCACAAUGGGCGAAAGCCUGAUGGAGCAACGCCGCGUGGGUGAAGAAGGUCUUCGGAUCGUAAAACCCGGUUGUUAGAGAAGAAAGUGCGUGAGAGUAACUGUUCACGUUUCGACGGUAUCUAACCAGAAAGCCACGGCUAACUACGUG